CCUACGGGUGGCAGCAGUAGGGAAUAUUGCACAAUGGGGGAAACCCUGAUGCAGCGACGCAGCGUGCAGGAUGAAGGUUUUCGGAUUGUAAACUCCUUUUGUUAGAGAAGAUAAUGACGGUAUCUAACGAAUAGGAACCGGCUAACUCCGUGCCAGAAGCCGCGGUAAUACGGAGGGUGCGAGCGUUCCGCGGAAUCACUGGGGUUAAAGGGCGCGUGGGCCGGAUAGCAAGUCAGAUGUGAAAUCCUAGGGCUUAACCAUAGAACUGCAUUUGAGACUGUUAAUCUAGAGUAUGGGAGAGGUAGGUGGAAUUCUUGGUGUAGCGGUAAAAUGCGUAGAGAUCAAGAGGAACACCCAAGGCGAAGGCGACCUGCUAGAACUAAACUGACGCUGAUGCGCGAAAGCGUGGGGAGCAAACAGGAUUAGAUACCCGUGUAGUC
rnacentral:rRNA from 1 species